UCGCCGGCGAGCGGCGGACGGGUGAGUAAUGUCUGGGAAACUGCCCGAUGGAGGGGGAUAACUACUGGAAACGGUAGCUAAUACCGCAUAACGUCUACGGACCAAAGUGGGGGACCUUCGGGCCUCACACCAUCGGAUGUGCCCAGAUGGGAUUAGCUAGUAGGUGGGGUAAUGGCUCACCUAGGCGACGAUCCCUAGCUGGUCUGAGAGGAUGACCAGCCACACUGGAACUGAGACACGGUCCAAACUUAAACGGGAGGCAGCAGUGGGGAAUAUUGCACAAUGGGCGCAAGCCUGAUGCAGCCAUGCCGCGUGUGUGAAGAAGGCCUUCGGGUUGUAAAGCACUUUCAGCGAGGAGGAAGGGUGGUGUCUUAAUACGGCAUCACAUUGACGUUACUCGCAGAAGAAGCACCGGCUAACUCCGUGCCAGCAGCCGCGGUAAUACGGAGGGUGCAAGCGUUAAUCGGAAUUACUGGGCGUAAAGCGCACGCAGGCGGUCUGUUAAGUCAGAUGUGAAAUCCCCGGGCUUAACCUGGGAACUGCAUUUGAAACUGGCAGGCUAGAGUCUCGUAGAGGGGGGUAGAAUUCCAGGUGUAGCGGUGAAAUGCGUAGAGAUCUGGAGGAAUACCGGUGGCGAAGGCGGCCCCCUGGACGAAGACUGACGCUCAGGUGCGAAAGCGUGGGGAGCAAACAGGAUUAGAUACCCUGGUAGUCCACGCUGUAAACGAUGUCGAUUUGGAGGUUGUGGCCUUGAGCCGUGGCUUCCGGAGCUAACGCGUUAAAUCGACCGCCUGGGGAGUACGGCCGCAAGGUUAAAACUCAAAUGAAUUGACGGGGGCCCGCACAAGCGGUGGAGCAUGUGGUUUAAUUCGAUGCAACGCGAAGAACCUUACCUACUCUUGACAUCCAGGGAACUUUCCAGAGAUGGAUUGGUGCCUUCGGGAACUGUGAGACAGGUGCUGCAUGGCUGUCGUCAGCUCGUGUUGUGAAAUGUUGGGUUAAGUCCCGCAACGAGCGCAACCCUUAUCCUUUGUUGCCAGCGAUUCGGUCGGGAACUCAAAGGAGACUGCCAGUGAUAAACUGGAGGAAGGUGGGGAUGACGUCAAGUCAUCAUGGCCC
rnacentral:rRNA from 1 species